rnacentral:rRNA from 14 species
CUUGUAGUGCAGAUCUUGGUGGUAGUAGCAAAUAUUCAAAUGAG